GAUGAACGCUGGCGGCGUGCCUAAUACAUGCAAGUCGAGCGAACAGACGAGGAGCUUGCUCCUCUGACGUUAGCGGCGGACGGGUGAGUAACACGUGGAUAACCUACCUAUAAGACUGGGAUAACUUCGGGAAACCGGAGCUAAUACCAGAUAACAUGUUGAACCGCAUGGUUCAACAGUGAAAGACGGUCUUGCUGUCACUUAUAGAUGGAUCCGCGCCGCAUUAGCUAGUUGGUAAGGUAACGGCUUACCAAGGCAACGAUGCGUAGCCGACCUGAGAGGGUGAUCGGCCACACUGGAACUGAGACACGGUCCAGACUCCUACGGGAGGCAGCAGUAGGGAAUCUUCCGCAAUGGGCGAAAGCCUGACGGAGCAACGCCGCGUGAGUGAUGAAGGUCUUCGGAUCGUAAAACUCUGUUAUUAGGGAAGAACAAAUGUGUAAGUAACUAUGCACGUCUUGACGGUACCUAAUCAGAAAGCCACGGCUAACUACGUG
rnacentral:rRNA from 1 species